CCUACGAGUGGCAGCAGUGAGGAAUAUUGGUCAAUGGGCGGAAGCCUGAACCAGCCAAGUAGCGUGCGGGAUGAAGGCCCUACGGGUCGUAAACCCCUUUUGCACGGGGGUAACACCCUCCACUUGUGGAGGUCUGCAGGUACCGUGCGAAUAAGGGCCGGCUAGUUCCGUGCCAGCCGCCGCGGUAAUACGGAAGGCCCGAGCGGUAUCAGGAUUCAUUGUGCUUAAAAGGAGCGUAGGCGGGCGUUCAAGUCCGCUGUAAAAUCGCGCGGGUCAACCGCGCCCCGCAGUUGAAACUGGACGCCUUGAGUUCACGACAGGCAGGCGGAAUUCGAGGUGUAGCGGUGAAAUGCAUAGAUAUCACGAGGAACCCCGAUUGCGAAGGCGGCCUGCCGGGGUGCGACUGACGCUGAGGCGCGAAGGUGCGGGGAGCAAACAGGAUUAGAUACCCGUGUAGUC
rnacentral:rRNA from 1 species